rnacentral:rRNA from 1 species
UACGAAGGUGGCAAGCGUUGUUCGGAUUUACUGGGCGUACAGGGAGCGUAGGCGGUUGGAUAAGCCCUCCGUGAAAUCUCCAGGCUUAACCUGGAAAGUGCAGAGGGGACUGUUCAGCUAGAGGAUGGGAGAGGAGCGCGGAAUUCCCGGUGUAGCGGUGAAAUGCGUAGAGAUCCGGAGGAACACCAGUGGCGAAGGCGACACGCUGGGCCGUACCUGACGCUAAAGCGCGACAGCAUGGGGAGCAAACGGG